UUGUGUGAGUGCGUGUGUCCGUCAACAAUUUGUUUGUGUAGACAGUAGAGGUCACAGUUUUCAUCCAAUCUUUAUGAAAUUUGGUCAGUAUGUUUAUCUUGAUGAAAUCUGGGUUGGGAUUGUAUUUGGGUCAUCUGGGGUCAAAAACUAGGUCACUAGGUCAAAUAAUAGAAAAACCUUGUGUAGACAGUAGAGGUCACAGUUUUCAUCCAAUCUUUAUGAAAUUUGGUCAGAAUGUUUAUCUUGAUGAAAUCUGGGUUGGGAUUGUAUUUGGGUCAUCUGGGGUCAAAAACUAGGUCACUAGGUCAAAUAAUAGAAAAACCUUGUGUAGACAAUAGAGGUCACAGUUUUCAUCUAAUCUUUAUGAAAUUUGGUCAGAAUGUUUAUCUUGAUGAAAUCUGGGUUGGGAUUGUAUUUGGGUCAUCUGGGGUCAAAAACUAGGUCACUAGGUCAAAUAAUAGAAAAACCUUGUGUAGACAGUAGAGGUCACAGUUUUCAUCCAAUCUUUAUGAAAUUUGGUCAGAAUGUUUAUCUUGAUGAAAUCUGGAUUGGGAUUGUAUUUGGGUCAUCUGGGGUCAAAAACUAGGUCACUAGGUCAAAAACUUGGUCAAAUAAUAGAAAAACCUUGUUUAGACAGUAGAGGUCACAGUUUUCAUCCAAUCUUUAUGAAAUUUGGUCAGAAUGUGUAUCUUGAUAAAAUCGGGUUUGGAUUGUAUUUGGGUAAUCUGG